UACAGAGACUGCAAGCGUUAUUCGGAUUCACUGGGCGUAAAGGGUGCGCAGGCGGCCAAGUGUGUUAGGCGUGAAAGCCUGGGGCUUAACCCCAGAAUUGCACCUAAAACUACAUGGCUAGAGCAUUGGAGAGGGUAGCGGAAUUCACGGUGUAGCAGUGAAAUGCGUAGAUAUCGUGAGGAACACCAGAGGCGAAGGCGGCUACCUGGACAAUUGCUGACGCUCAUGCACGAAAGCGUGGGGAGCAAACAGG
rnacentral:rRNA from 1 species